GAGGAGACUCAGUGCUCUAAAAGAAAUAGACGAAGUUGACGCAUCAACUACGACCGGUCAACCAAAACAAUCUGAGAACGGAUUUCAGGCAACUGCGUUGUCGAGUAUUGCUGAAGACAUUGACGAUGUUGAUUUCCCGUAUGAGAACCUCGUUUUGGAAGGCGGUGGAAGCCAGGGAAAUGCUUAUAUUGGCGCCAUAAUGGAGUUGGAGCGACUUAACUUCUUGAGCAAGAUUCGUCGUUUCGCUGGUUCCAGCAUUGGUUCGGCGACAGCUGCUUAUCUCGCCGUAGGCCACGGGACCAGCAAAUUUCUCUCCAUGAUAAAAGAUGGACCUCAAUUCAACGACCUCUUAGAUGCACCCUGUGGAAAAUGCAGCCUGGUGCCCAACCUGUUUAGGUACAUGGGAUGACAUCCUGGAAGGACCCUCUAUCAGUCUCUGGGUGAAGGCAUUGCUGAAAAGCUAGGAGACCCAAAC